GACGAACGCUGGCGGCGUGCUUAACACAUGCAAGUCGAACGGAAAGGCCCUGCUUGCAGGGUACUCGAGUGGCGAACGGGUGAGUAACACGUGGGUGAUCUGCCCUUCACUUCGGGAUAAGCCUGGGAAACUGGGUCUAAUACCGGAUAGGAGCCAUUUUUAUUGUGAUGGUUGGAAAGUUUUUUCGGUGUAGGAUGAGCUCGCGGCCUAUCAGCUUGUUGGUGGGGUAAUGGCCUACCAAGGCGGCGACGGGUAGCCGGCCUGAGAGGGUGGACGGCCACAUUGGGACUGAGAUACGGCCCAGACUCCUACGGGAGGCAGCAGUGGGGAAUAUUGCACGAUGGGCGCAAGCCUGAUGCAGCGACGCCGCGUGGGGGAUGACGGCCUUCGGGUUGUAAACUCCGUUCGCUAGGGACGAAGCUUUUUGUGACGGUACCUAGAUAAGAAGCACCGGCUAACUACGUG
rnacentral:rRNA from 1 species